rnacentral:rRNA from 1 species
UACGGGGGGUGCGAGCGUUGUCCGGAAUCACGGGGCGUAAAGGGCGCGUAGGUGGUUUGAUAAGGGUGUGGUGAAAGUCCGGGGCUCAACCCCGGAUCUGCCGUGCCGACUGUCAAACUCGAGGGCUGUAGAGGCAGACGGAAUUCCGGGUGUAGCGGUGGAAUGCGUAGAGAUCCGGAGGAAGACCGGUGGCGAAGGCGGUCUGCUGGGCAGUUUCUGACACUGAUGCGCGAAAGCGUGGGGAGCAAACAGG